AUUACAAUAGAGUAUUUUAUAGAAACAGUUGUACGAACCGUUGCCAUAGAAUCAUCUAUGGCAACACUUAAUUGAAUAAAAAAAGCUAUUGCACCGAUAUAACUAUUCCCACCAAAAAAUUUUGCUAAGUCCGCCAACAAAAACCCUUUAUUCUCCAAUCUGCCCAAAAAACCCUUUCAUCACUUUUUAUCUAGCAUACUCCAAUCCGCCAAAAAUAUUUCACUAAGCUCGAUCCGCCACUGCUCCGAACACCAUACGUCGAUCACAAUACCAUUGCUCCGACCACCAUUCUCCUCUGAUUGAACCACUACUCCAACUACCAUACCUUGAUUUCAAUGCUGCUCCGGCCACCACUGUGAGUAGGAAUAUGUAUUUGAAUCCCAAGUUGGGUGGGGUUUGGGUUGGAGCUCCUGCCACCACUGUGAGUAGGAAUAUUUCUAGUUAAUUCAGUUUCUCCUUUUUCAUUACCAGAAUUUCACUUUCCAGUGGCACACAUUUUUGUGCAUUACUAGAAUAAGAAAUUCAACUAUUUUUCCUUUCUAUUUGCUAUAAAGAUUACAACUCUUUUUAGUUUCUUCAACUAAAUUCUCAAGAUAAGAAUUAGAAAUUAUAGAAUCAAAGAGAGAACAUCAGUAGAAAUUCAAUUGCAAGAUACAUAAUUGCAGAGCAAAGACUAUUUCAUAGCAAUACGCCAUAGCAAAGACAGUUCUACAACAUUAACAACAGGUGCAAGAUGGGAAACUCUUGUAGUAAUACUUUGUUUCAGGUUCAAGACCUACAGGGGCAUUCUAUAUAACCCACUUGUUGUUUUGGGGUGUUCUUCAAUUUAGGGAUGUCUUCAAUUUGGGGAUUUGAAGGCUUGUGGUUGUGAAGUCAAAGGUUGACCUAAUUACUUCUUCUGGCAUGAACAAAGUCUCCCAAUCCUUCCCUUCAAAGUUGUUCAAGAUGGGAAAAUUUUGAUUCACCAAAGAACUGCUUUUGGUUUGAUGGUAACAAUAAGUUUAACUUUUGCUUUUCAUUUGGAUUCAUGCCCUUCUAUGUAUUAUAGAAGAAGUUUGUAUUGAUAUGGUAAAGGUUUGAUCAUUAUAUAUGUGUUGUUGGGUGAUUUAAAUGUGAAAUAAAUUUGAGAAACAAAUGCAACAACCCAAUAUAGUCCCAUAAUAAGAAUUUAAGGAGAGUGGGGUGUAUGUAGAUGGACCUUACCUUUGUGCUGUAGACUAUGAUCAAUGUAAAAUAUUAUAUACCAUCAUUCUGUAAAGCAUAUACCUGGAUGUAUUUCAUAUAUCUAAAAAGUUCAGAGAAUUCUUUCCGCUCCCACCAUUUUCACUGAUGAUUUCUAUAUAGUUAGCAUACUACUGAUUCUCUUGUAAUAUAUAGGGCCUAAGAACAAUUUGAAUUUCUUUAUUCUAAUGUAACUUGUAUUCCGAACCUUGUUGUUCAAACUUCAGGCCAGUGUCCAGAAGGUAGCCCAAGUUUGUUUAAAACUAAUGUAGAGCCCAGCUAGAUUGACCACAUAAACUUUGCAUGAGCUUACAUUAGUUGGUUAGAUCAAAGAAUAACAAUAGUUACUACGAUUUAGUCUUAAACAAGUUUAAGUUAUCUCUGCUAUGUGAAUGCAUUAUUAUUCGGCGUAUUUUGUGUUGGUUGUUGGUCUAUCGCAAAUCUCCACCUUUGUCCGAGUUUCAAAGCGAUAAUGUAAUCGAAGUCAUAUCGGUGGAGUUAAGUUAGAUCAAAUAUAUGGAUAAAUAGUGGUAGUAAGACUUGUAUGUUAAACAUUUCACAUUAUGCAAUUUGACUUUUGAAAGUCAAAAACUUUAAUAGAUUGAAGUGUCAACAUCUCGUGCACCUAGCCUGAACAUACCAGUCUUCAUAUAGAUUGAAGAAUGUGUAAAUCUGAUUUUAUCUAUAGAAUCAAUACCUUUUUUAAGUCUCACAUGAACAUCUGCUGCAAGAAGAGACAUUUUCCCUUCCCUCCCUCGCACAACAUACCUACAGAACUCCUCAGCAGUCCAAUUACCUCCAUUAUCAUUUCCGAAUUCUCCCUUGAGAAUAACUAUUUCCACUUUAGCUGAGGCUUUUGGUCCAAAGUCAAUAAUUUCUCCAGUUUUAUUAUCAACUAAAUAUCCACUUCAAUAAAAUUACCUCUAUCUCCUUUAAUUUCCACUUCGGUAAGUAUAGGAAAAAUAUACUUCUGUAGAGAACUUCAAUUUCAAGCUUCUUGGUUUUGGAGCUUGAAUAUCUAUUUCAGGGUUUCUAGAGAACAAUGAUGUCUCAAAUAUGAGAUUAACAGUCAAAUUGAUUGUGAAAGUAUCACAUGCUAAAUUGAGGAUAGGAAUACAGAAAAACACACAGAAUGGUCCUUACCCCUUGGCGAACAAAAACUUUUCCUCUGCCAAUUCAAGUUCACGUUUUACCUGAACCAAGAAAGUACACUUAGCAGAAGUCAUUGGAAUAUAAACAACAAAGUCAUAACAACUAAAUCUCCAAAAUUUAAGCAGUAUAAACUUUCUGCAAUAAUUAGCCACCGGAUUGGAAAUAUUGAUUACUAGACUAGUUUCAAUUCCCGAUUUUACUUGUAUUUCAUCUUCAAAGGUUGUAUUUCAAUAUUUAAUUUAUUCUCACUUCAAAAUCUAUCUAUUUAACAGAUAUGCAUAUAUUUCUCAGUGGAGUUCUGUGCUUCAAUUUGUAAAAACUAUUGUUGCAUUUUUUUUGUUAUCUAUUUACAACUGGUCAAGCUGCUUGAGUUAAGAGAGGCAAACCACAUAGAGUUCUGCAAAAUAAAGAUCAUGGAUGAAGAGAUCUGUAGAAGAAUCGAAUUCAGAGCUUCGUGCUAUUUUAGAGUUACUGAUGGAUCCUACUUGGUUGGCAACUGGGUUAAAAGUUGAUUUUGACACACUAGUAAAUGAAUGUGGAGAGAUUUCUUGUAGAAUCAGUGAAAUAAUAUCUGUACAUGGUGAAAGUGAUCAAAAGAUAAGUUCGUAUUGUAUCAUCCCAAAUUAGUUUUUGUUAAGAUAUCGAGUUGUCGUGGAAAGGUCAUGUCAAGAGGAUACAUUUAGAAGAAGAUGUGUGUUCCAGAAGUUCUUAACUUCAUUGCCUGUCCUUCUAGGUAGUCUACCAGCAAUUAGCGGCCAACUGCACCAAAAAAGAUAUGACAUUAAGUAUAGCAAAAUAGCAGGAAAGAAGCAGGUGCAGCGGGGCAAAGCAGUGAUCGAAUGUCGAGGAGCAUAUGGAGUCUGAUGAUGAGGUCUUUUUCAUCUUCUGACAUCAUUCCUCGCUUGAUAUUUGGCCGCAGGAAAUCAUGGAAAAUUAUGCAGAUAUAGUAUUUGCGAACAGCGAAGAUGCAAGAACAUUCUGUCAUUUUUCAUCAAAAGAAAGUCCCCUUUCUGCUACAAGGUGUUCAAAAUGAAUGAGAUGAAGAAAGAAGUGAUGUUAAUUAAUAUCGAUCUUUUUGAUUUUGAAUUUCAUGAAAAUUAUCACCAAUCAAAUUUGAUACUAUGUGUGAAAACUAAUAAUCAUUUGACUUUUACAUUUUGCUUUUGUGUUUAGAUUACUAGUUUGUUAAUUUGGAUUAUAUUAAUGAAAGAUUUUGUUGUGA